rnacentral:rRNA from 1 species
UACGGAGGGUGCAAGCGUUAUCCGGAUUUACUGGGUUUAAAGGGUGCGUAGGUGGAUUAGUAAGUCAGUGGUGAAAUCUCCGGGCUUAACCCGGAAACUGCCAUUGAUACUAUUAGUCUUGAAUAUCCUGGAGGUGAGCGGAAUAUGUCAUGUAGCGGUGAAAUGCUUAGAUAUGACAUAGAACACCAAUUGCGAAGGCAGCUCACUACGGGAUUAUUGACACUGAGGCACGAAAGCGUUGGGGAUCAAACAGG